AGUGAACGCUGGCGGUAGGCCUAACACAUGCAAGUCGAACGGCAGCACAGUAAGAGCUUGCUCUUACGGGUGGCGAGUGGCGGACGGGUGAGGCAUACAUCGCAAUCUACUUUUUCGUGGGGGAUAACGUAGGAACACUUACGCUAAUACCGCAUACGACCUACGGGUGAAAGCAGGGGAUCUUCGGACCUUGCGCGAUUGAAUUAGCCGAUGUCGGAUUAGCUAGUUGGCGGGGUAAAGGCCCACCAAGGCGACGAUCCGUAGCUGGUCUGAGAGGAUGAUCAGCCACACUGGAACUGAGACACGGUCCAGACUCCUACGGGAGGCAGCAGUGGGGAAUAUUGGGCAAUGGGCGCAAGCCUGAUCCAGCAACACCGCGUGAGUGAAGAAGGCCUUCGGGUUGUAAAGCCCUUUUAUUAGGAAAGAAAAGAAGCAGGUUAAUAUACCGAUGUUCUGACGGUACCCAAAGAAUAAGCACCGGCUAACUUCGUG
rnacentral:rRNA from 1 species